CAGAGUGUAGCUAAAAUAGAAUAGCAUCUCCCUUACACUGAGAAGACCCUUGUGCAAAUCGAGGCACCCUGA
rnacentral:tRNA from 1 species